rnacentral:tRNA from 1 species
GGGGAUAUAGCUCAGUUGGUAGAGCUCCGCUCUUGCAAAGGCGGUGAUUUACCCUGCGGCGGAUGUCAGCGGUUCGAGUCCGCUUAUCUCCA